rnacentral:misc_RNA from 1 species
GGUCUUACUGAAGAUUGCCGCAAGCCUGCGUGAUCUAGAAGUGACGAACCAGAGCAGUUGGAUGGACCCCAAUUGCGACUUGACAGCCUACAGCAUCGACCUGGCAGAGAUCCUCCUCGCACACCGCGAGGCUGCGAAGAACCUUCAGAUUGAACGAGAGGCUCGGCGCGGGCGUGAAACCUUGGCGCGCCUGCUCAUCAAUCAGCCCCUAAAGUCCAGUUUCGACACCAUGACAGACGCCCUGGCGUUAGAGCAGGAGCAGGGAGCUGAAAGGGUGCAACUUGAGAGUCGAGGUAGACCGAAACUGUUCCGAAACGAGGAUGCGCCGCCAAGGACACCCGAGAGCGA